UACGUUCCCGGGCCUUGUACACACCGCCCGUCAAGCCAUGGAAGCUGGGGGUGCCUGAAGUCGGCGACCGCAAGGAGCUGCCUAGGGUAAAACUAGUAACUAGGGCU
rnacentral:rRNA from 1 species